GAGUUUGAUCGUGGCUCAGAACGAACGCUGGCGGCGUGGAUAAGACAUGCAAGUCGAACGGGAGAAUUGCUAGCUUGCUAAUAAUUCUCUAGUGGCGCACGGGUGAGUAACACGUGAGUAACCUGCCCCCGAGAGCGGGAUAGCCCUGGGAAACUGGGAUUAAUACCGCAUAGUAUCGAAAGAUUAAAGCAGCAAUGCGCUUGGGGAUGGGCUCGCGGCCUAUUAGUUAGUUGGUGAGGUAACGGCUCACCAAGGCGAUGACGGGUAGCCGGUCUGAGAGGAUGUCCGGCCACACUGGAACUGAGACACGGUCCAGACACCUACGGGUGGCAGCAGUCGAGAAUCAUUCACAAUGGGGGAAACCCUGAUGGUGCGACGCCGCGUGGGGGAAUGAAGGUCUUCGGAUUGUAAACCCCUGUCAUGUGGGAGCAAAUUAAAAAGAUAGUACCACAAGAGGAAGAGACGGCUAACUCUGUGCCAGCAGCCGCCGCAGU
rnacentral:rRNA from 1 species